ACGGGUGAGUAACGCGUAUCCAACCUUCCCUAUAGUAGAGAAUAGCCCGGCGAAAGUCGGAUUAAUGCUCUAUGUUGUAUUUAGAAGACAUCUGAAGAAUACCAAAGGUUUACCGCUAUAGGAUGGGGAUGCGUCUGAUUAGGUAGUAGGCGGGGUAACGGCCCACCUAGCCGACGAUCAGUAGGGGUUCUGAGAGGAAGGUCCCCCACAUUGGAACUGAGACACGGUCCAAACUCCUACGGGAGGCAGCAGUGAGGAAUAUUGGUCAAUGGACGGAAGUCUGAACCAGCCAAGUAGCGUGCAGGAUGACGGCCCUAUGGGUUGUAAACUGCUUUUAUAUAGGGAUAAAGUCGGGGACGUGUCCCCGUUUGUAGGUACUAUAUGAAUAAGGACCGGCUAAUUCCGUGCCAGCAGCCGCGGUAAUACGGAAGGUCCAGGCGUUAUCCGGAUUUAUUGGGUUUAAAGGGAGCGCAGGCUGAUGAUUAAGCGUGACGUGAAAUGUAGCCGCUCAACGGCUGAACUGCGUCGCGAACUGGUUAUCUUGAGUGAGUUCGAUGUUGGCGGAAUUCGUGGUGUAGCGGUGAAAUGCUUAGAUAUCACGAAGAACUCCGAUUGCGAAGGCAGCCAACAAGGCCUUUACUGACGCUAAAGCUCGAAGGUGCGGGUAUCGAACAGGAUUAGAUACCCUGGUAGUCCGCACGGUAAACGAUGGAUGCCCGCUGUUUGCGAUAUACUGUGAGCGGCCAAGAGAAAUCGUUAAGCAUCCCACCUGGGGAGUACGCCGGCAACGGUGAAACUCAAAUGAAUUGACGG
rnacentral:rRNA from 1 species